rnacentral:lncRNA from 1 species
UGUUCCUAAAGAUAUUCCCUUAGCUCCAAACAUCUAUACCUAUACAUUAUUUCUCCUAAUUUUUUGCCACGUGGCGAAUUCUCCUUCACUUUUUCUCUUCUCUUAUCUAACUUUUUCAUCUAAUGUUUCAUCUUCCUAAACUCCCACCUCUCAAUUAAUGUGUUUACAUAAUAUCAUCUCCAUCCAAUGCUUCAUCUUUCUAACCCUCCACCCAAUGCUUCAUCUUCCUAACCUCUCUAUCUCUCAAUUAAUAUGUUUACAUGGCUUCAUCUCCAUUUCUCCAUUUUUUUUUUCAUAUUGUUUUUUUUUCUCCCCUCCUAUCUCUCAAUUAAUAUGUUUACAUGAUUUCAUUUCCAUUUCUUCAUAUCUUUUUUUUCAUAUUGUUUUUUUUCUUUUUUUCUUAGCGCACAAAAAGGGCUCAUGUUUUAUAACUUUUUUUAAUUUUUUGUUGUGUGUGGAUUGAAAUUAGGGUUUCGAGGAUCGUGACGGAGCGCUGCAAAAGAAAACGGUGAUGGAUCUGGAGUCAGUGAGAGAGAAGAAGCAGAGGAUGUGGAUACGGGAUUGAUAUGGUCGUGACUAAAGAGGAGCUCGACACUAGCGGCGAAGGUGAUAUAAAGAUCGGAAUUUGCCUCUCCGAUGAUAGUGCAAUGAAGAUGUGUGUGGGGUAAAAAAAAUUUUAUUGCUUAUUUUAUUAUUAUUACGUGUGAUUUAUUUACCAAAAUUAUAAAUUUUGUUAUAUCAAUACCUAUAUCUAUUUUAUAUUUUAUAUUUGUGUUUAUUUAAGUCCUAUAUCAAAUCAAAAAAUUUAAAUUUUUAUUUUAUUUAUAUUUUAUAUUCUAUAGUAUCAUUCCG